rnacentral:tRNA from 1 species
AAAAAUUUAGUUAAAUUUAUAACAUUAGUUUGUCAAACUAAAAUUAUUACUAUAAUAAUUUUUA